CUACGUGCCAGCAGCCGCGGUAAUACGGAAGGUCCAGGCGUUAUCCGGAUUUAUUGGGUUUAAAGGGAGCGUAGGCUGGAGAUUAAGUGUGUUGUGAAAUGUAGACGCUCAACGUCUGAAUUGCAGCGCAUACUGGUUUCCUUGAGUACGCACAACGUUGGCGGAAUUCGUCGUGUAGCGGUGAAAUGCUUAGAUAUGACGAAGAACUCCGAUUGCGAAGGCAGCUGACGGGAGCGCAACUGACGCUUAAGCUCGAAGGUGCGGGUAUCAAACAGGAUUAGAUACCCUGGUAGUCCGCACAGUAAACGAUGGAUGCCCGCUGUUGGUACCUGGUAUCAGCGGCUAAGCGAAAGCAUUAAGCAUCCCACCUGGGGAGUACGCCGGCAACGGUGAAACUCAAAGGAAUUGACGGGGGCCCGCACAAGCGGAGGAACAUGUGGUUUAAUUCGAUGCAACGCGAAGAACCUUACCUACUCUUGACA
rnacentral:rRNA from 1 species